CAAUUAGCCCUGGCCUCAUUUAGCACCUAUCUGGAAAUCCAGAAUUACUUUCUGUUCUAUGCUAGAGAACAUAGAACUGGAUGGAAAAGAAUACACACACAAUCUAUUACAUUGAAUAACAAGAUUCUGACUGAAGAUUGAUCCAUCAUUUGAAAGUUCAAUAUUCCAAUAUAUAAAGAGAAAAAUGCCAUUACUUGUCCUGAAUUGAGUAUCUCUUGUCACUGAAGAAACCACAGAAAGGCAGUGCCCAGGAAACAGAUGAGGAGGGCCAUUUUUCCAGCAUAUUGUUGGGCCAGCAGAUCACUAUCCAUGAAUAUGUCAUUCACAAAUUCAUCCCUAAGGCACCUUAAAUUGUCUGCAUGGAAAGUAUGGUGUUGGGAGAAGAAGUAAAGCCUCAGUUCCAAGCUGGAAUCACCAUAAAUGACUCUAGAGUUUGUCAGCAGUUGGCUUAUGCAAGUGGGGAUUGAAUAGAAACAAUGUCAUGAGAGCAAACAAAGUCUGAUUUAGUUGAACUGAUAGGGGAAUUGAUAGGGUAGUGCAUAUGGUCUCAACAAAUACAGUAAGUGUUACCAGUGUGUGUGGAGCAUCAUUUGAAUGAAACUAUUGGCAGAUGGGAGGAAGGGCAUUUAGCUGUCGUUUUGCUAGCUGAUACUCAAUGAAUUUCUCUGUCUCAGGCUACAUUUUCAUGCAGUUGCUGGGAAGGAAAAAGAAAUAGUAAAUAAUAGUUUUGGUGUGAUUUUAGAAGAAGCACAUGAGACAGCAGAAGAAGGUCUGAUAUUAAACAAUAUCUCUCAGCAGCCAUCCCCCUCUUUUGGGGCCACUGUUGAACCAACAACUCUUUAGAGUCCUGCGGAAAAAUCAGGUGGAACAACGGCUGAUGACUUCUUUCUAUCGGUCCACAAUAGAAAGUGUCCUCACAUACUGUAUAACAGUAUGGUACGCUGGUUUAACAGCUGCGGAGAGGAAGGCACUACCAAGAGUGAUCAAUUCAGCACAAGAAGCCAUUGGUUGCCCUCUAACACCACUGGAUGACAACGGCAAGUCUCGCUGUUUCAGCAGAGUAAGGAAGAUACUUAGGGAUGACUCACACCCUGGCCAGUGUCUUUUUUCACUCUUACUAUCGGGCAGAAGACAUUGAAAAUUGCCAGCCGGACAAACAGAUUUAAAAACAGCUUCUACCCAUGGACUAUCAGACUCCUAAACACAAUCACAAUCACUCCAUGUACAUAUGGAAAUGUAUGACUAGUUUUAUUCUUUCCCCAAUUACUUGUAUAAAUUGAGAAUUGUAUUUUCUUGUAUUUUCUGUUAUGGAUUGCACCCAUAGAGGCUAAACCAAUUUCGUUGUAUACAUGAAGUACAAUGACAAUAAAGGUUGUUGUUGUUGU